UGCUGUAGGAGUAACGGUGGUAGCAGCAGUAAUCCCUGGUGGCCUUUUAUUUGAAGGAGCUAUUGCAUUAGCUGGAUCUGCUUUCGGUUUAGCAGGAGGAGCAACAAAUAUUGGGGCAUCAGUUGUUGUAGAUGAAUUGAUGAAAAGAGCCGAAGCAAAAUCUGAAGAAUCUUUAAAAAAUCAAGCGAAGACCACUGACGAUUUAAUAAAUCUGCUGGAUGAAUACAAGGAAAAAACAAAGAUCCAUUUGAAGACAGCUAAAAUGUUUGGCGACGUCUUAAUGCGUUUUAAACAUCUACACAAGGACAGAGUGGAAUUAACUAUUGUAAUAGGGGAUUCUGUCGAAGAAGUGCUCGGGUACUCCAAGUCAUUUGUAAAAGUAACGAAGUUGAUUAAGGAACAGAAAAAAAAAACGUCGAAAAAUAUG